rnacentral:rRNA from 1 species
UACGUAGGGGGCUAGCGUUGUCCGGAAUCAUUGGGCGUAAAGAGCGUGUAGGCGGCCCGGUAAGUCCGCUGUGAAAGUCGGGGGCUCAACCCUCGGAUGCCGGUGGAUACUGUCGGGCUCGAGUACGGAAGAGGCGAGUGGAAUUCCCAGUGUAGAGGUGAAAUUCGUAGAUAUUGGGAAGAACACCAGUGGCGAAGGCGGCUCUCUGGACCGUAACUGACGCUGAGGCGCGAAAGCGUGGGGAGCAAACAGG